AGCGAACGCUGGCGGCAUGCUUAACACAUGCAAGUCGCACGGGCAGGGGAAACUCUGUCAGUGGCGGACGGGUGAGUAACGACGUAGGUAUCUAUCCUUGGGUGGGGGACAACGGCUGGAAACGGCUGCUAAUACCGCAUGAUGUCUGAGGACUAAAGGCGCGAGUCGCCUGAGGAGGAGCCUGCGUACGAUUAGCUAGUUGGUGGGGUAAAGGCCUACCAAGGCNGUGAUCGUUAGCUGGUCUGAGAGGAUGAUCAGCCACAUUGGGACUGAGACACGGCCCAAACUCCUACGGGAGGCAGCAGUGGGGAAUAUUGGACAAUGGGGGAAACCCUGAUCCAGCAAUGCCGCGUGUGUGAAGAAGGCCUUAGGGUUGUAAAGCACUUUUGUCCAGGAAGAAAAGGCUUUAGUGAAUAAUUAAAGUCGAUGACGGUACUGGAAGAAGAAG
rnacentral:rRNA from 1 species